GGUAGACAUCAUCUUUUCUGUGUUAUCGUGUUUGAUUCAGAAGAUAUGAUACAAAAUACAUAAUUUGGUUAUGGCGGAAAGUAAAAUAGUCGCCACAGCAACCACAAGGCAUUUUUGUGAUGGCUCCAUUUCUGAAAAUGUUCAGGGCCCCAAACUGUACAAGUGUACCAAAUUUCAUGCUUUUAUGAAAAAGUGAACAUUUCACCUCAAAUUUUGCACAUAUCACCUGGACUAAUAACAGUAUUUAACGUUUUAUAUUUUCAACAUUUCAAAACAUUAUUUAUGCAUCUGUAACUGCUUUUGACUGAUUAACUUUAAUAAAGUUUAAUAGUUAUACAUUAGAAUACAAUUUCUGUAACUGAAAAUCUCCUGUUUAAACCUACAUGAAAAACCUGAAAAGCACCAUUUAUUUCAUUUAUAUAUUUGUUCUGUUGUAUUUAUUUGUGCUAUUACUCAUUAUUUGAUUUAUUCCUAUUUUAUUACUUGUCAAAUAAUAUUAAAUUUAAAAGUUAAUCUAGUAGCUUCUGUUGUCGUAACCGUAUUUAUUAAGGUUGCGUGUAUAAAAACAACGAAAACAAUAACUAAAAAGUGAUUCGUUGGCUCAACAUCUAUUACUUAUCAAGAUAAAUAGAAUAAACUCAAAAAUAUAUUAACAUUUCAAGCUGUACUUAACAUUUUCUAGUGUAUGCAACACAAAAAUGUAAAUUAAAAGGUGAACAUAAGUGUAUUCAUAAAGUAAAUGAAAAAACGUAAGUAACAUCAACUGGCAUUAAAACUUGCUUAAAAUUAAGUAAACUUAACAUAAAAUUUUACAUAUUUGUGAGCUGCGUGAUAUGCAAAUAUUCUAUCCAGCCAAUGAGCGAAGCUGGAGCCAUUUUGAAGCGUGAUGUGGUGAAGACAGCGAGUACUCUGUCAGUGGGGUGUAUUCCUUAACCGGAAGCGCAACACAACAUUUUCUGAAGUUUGAUGUGGUGAAGACGGAGAUAAGAGUGGGGUGUAUUCGUAAACUGGAAGCACAACGCAACGUUUUCUGAAGCGCAAUAUGGUGACCAUGGUGAAAGGAGAACCCAGAUAGCAACAGACUCCGGGGCGAAUCCGCCUUCAAGUCGCCUGCUCCGCUGUUCGCUCAGAUUCAAUUCGGCAACGCGCACAGAAUAUGCCCCGCCUCCGCACAACGCACUGUCAACGCGCGGACUCGUUACAGACGCUGGGCGGAUUCACUGACCGGACGCGCCUUUUUCAACUGUCGUCGUCUCUGAAUCCUUCUCCUCACCGUGGAAAAGCUGGAGCCGACAGGUCGGUGAAGACUGAACACGCUUACAACUCAUUACUCUUACACUCAAGCCACCAGUGUGUUUUUGGAGUAUUUCAUCUUUCUAUUUCAACUUUCGUCUGAGGAAACUUACAACUCAUUCAAAUGCCACCAGUGUGUUUUUGGAGUAUUUCUUCUUUCUAUUUCAUCUUUCGUCUGAGGAAACUUACAACUCAUUCAAGUGCCACCAGUGUGUUUUUGGAGUAUUUCUUCUUUCUAUUUAAUCUUUCAUCUGAGAUUUCUUCCCUUGCAACUGUUGGGGGCCAUGACACAAAACGUGUCACAUGGAACAUCCUUUCCCGCAUGUUCCGUGAUGAUGUUGGGAGGAGGAUCAACUGGAAGGGCGUGAAAUGGUAAAAAAGCAUUCAACCGGAUGGAGUCCAAGAAGUUCCUCCUGUGUGCUGUGAGAAAGAGCCAUGUAUCAUGUGCCGCCACUGAUGAUGAAAUUACAAAACACACAAUACGGUGGUUCAGCCUGGCAGCUGAUAGGGGAAGCUCAAGGAACCGUCCCACUUGCAACAAUAGAAGGAUAUGGUGCAUCCUGUUUUUGGAGUCCAAUGCUGUCUGCGGAAAUACACAGAGAAGUUGAUUCAGUGUUUAAUGGUGUACAUCUCUGACAAUGCUGAUAAUCUCAUCAGGCAUUACCAGGAUAGCCAUGGUGACCUAAAGGAACUGGAACAGCACACACACUGAGGAUUAUCACAAAGGUGGCUUCAUGGACGAUCCUUUAGAGACUGUAAGUUUCUUUUGGUCAAAUUGUCACUUUUUUCAGAAGUACUAGAGUCAUGAUUUUUGGUUUUAGACUAUUUAAGUUGCUGUUUCCAGAGUAGUAUUGCAAUCUCUAUCAGAAAACCUAAAAUGCUUUAUUUUUGUACUGAUUUUACUAAUUGUACUAAUUGUGUGAAAACCUUUUGUUGAAAUGCUGUCCAAAAAUGAAGUAAAAUGCUGUUUUAUGUUUAUUGUAUGUUUUUUACUUAUUUUAAGACAUUGAAUGUUCUAGAGCAGUACAGUAAGUUUUAUUCAAUAGCUCAAGGUCUAAAAUUAAUUAAAAUUUUAAGUUUGUUCAA